rnacentral:tRNA from 1 species
GCCCCCGUAGCUCAAUGGACAGAGCGCCUGAUUACGGAUCAGGAGGUUGCAGGUUCGACUCCUGCCGGGGGCA